rnacentral:rRNA from 1 species
GAUGAACGCUGGCGGCGUGCCUAAUACAUGCAAGUCGAGCGAACGGACGAGAAGCUUGCUUCUCUGAUGUUAGCGGCGGACGGGUGAGUAACACGUGGAUAACCUACCUAUAAGACUGGGAUAACUUCGGGAAACCGGAGCUAAUACCGGAUAAUAUUUUGAACCGCAUGGUUCAAAAGUAAAAGACGGUCUUGCUGUCACUUAUAGAUGGAUCCGCGCUGCAUUAGCUAGUUGGUAAGGUAACGGCUUACCAAGGCAACGAUGCAUAGCCGACCUGAGAGGGUGCUCGGCCACACGGGAACUGAGACACGGUCCAGACUCCUACGGGAGGCAGCAGUAGGGAAUCUUCCGCAAUGGGCGAAAGCCUGACGGAGCAACGCCGCGUGAGUGAUGAAGGUCUUCGGAUCGUAAAACUCUGUUAUUAGGGAAGAACAUAUGUGUAAGUAACUGUGCACAUCUUGACGGUACCUAAUCAGAAAGCCACGGCUAACUACGUG